UACGUAGGGUGCGAGCGUUGUCCGGAAUUACUGGGCGUAAAGAGCUCGUAGGUGGUUUGUCGCGUUGUUCGUGAAAACCGGGGGCUUAACCCUCGGCGUGCGGGCGAUACGGGCAGACUUGAGUACUGCAGGGGAGACUGGAAUUCCUGGUGUAGCGGUGGAAUGCGCAGAUAUCAGGAGGAACACCGGUGGCGAAGGCGGGUCUCUGGGCAUUACCUGACGCUGAGGAGCGAAAGUGUGGGGAGCGAACAGG
rnacentral:rRNA from 1 species